rnacentral:rRNA from 1 species
UGGGGAAUAUUGGACAAUGGGCGCAAGCCUGAUCCAGCAAUGCCGCGUGUGUGAAGAAGGCCUGCGGGUUGUAAAGCACUUUAAGCAGGAAAGAAGGUGUAAGGGUUAAUACCCCUUGCAAUUGACGUUACCUGCAGAAUAAGCACCGGCUAACUCCGUGCCAGCAGCCGCGGUAAUACGGAGGGUGCGAGCGUUAAUCGGAAUUACUGGGCGUAAAGCGCGCGUAGGCGGUUGACUAAGUCUGCUGUGAAAGCCCCGGGCUUAACCUGGGAACUGCAGUGGAUACUGGUUGGCUAGAGUAUGGUAGAGGGUAGUGGAAUUUCCGGUGUAGCAGUGAAAUGCGUAGAGAUCGGAAGGAACACCAGUGGCGAAGGCGGCUAUCUGGACCAAUACUGACGCUGAGGUGCGAAAGCGUGGGGAGCAAACA